GAUGAACGCUGGCGGCGUGCCUAAUACAUGCAAGUAGAACGCUGAAGCUUGGUGCUUGCACCGAGCGGAUGAGUUGCGAACGGGUGAGUAACGCGUAGGUAACCUGCCUCUUAGCGGGGGAUAACUAUUGGAAACGAUAGCUAAUACCGCAUAAAAGUCGAUAUCGCAUGAUGUUGAUUUGAAAGGUGCAAAUGCAUCACUAAGAGAUGGACCUGCGUUGUAUUAGCUAGUUGGUGAGGUAACGGCUCACCAAGGCGACGAUACAUAGCCGACCUGAGAGGGUGAUCGGCCACACUGGGACUGAGACACGGCCCAGACUCCUACGGGAGGCAGCAGUAGGGAAUCUUCGGCAAUGGGGGCAACCCUGACCGAGCAACGCCGCGUGAGUGAAGAAGGUUUUCGGAUCGUAAAGCUCUGUUGUAAGAGAAGAACGAGUGUGAGAGUGGAAAGUUCACACU
rnacentral:rRNA from 1 species